rnacentral:rRNA from 1 species
CCAGACUCCUACGGGAGGCAGCAGUGGGGAAUAUUGCACAAUGGGGGAAACCCUGAUGCAGCGACGCCGCGUGGGCGAGGAAGUACCUCGGUAUGUAAAGCCCUAUCAGCAGGGAAGAAACAGGACAGUACCUGACUAAGAAGCCCCGGCUAACUACGUGCCAGCAGCCGCGGUAAUACGUAGGGGGCAAGCGUUAUCCGGAUUUACUGGGUGUAAAGGGAGCGUAGACGGUAUGGCAAGUCUGAAGUGAAAGUCCGGGGCUCAACCGCGGGACUGCUUUGGAAACUGUUAAGCUGGAGUGCAGGAGAGGUAAGUGGAAUUCCUAGUGUAGCGGUGAAAUGCGUAGAUAUUAGGAGGAACACCAGUGGCGAAGGCGGCUUGCUGGACGAUGACUGACGUUGAGGCUCGAAAGCGUGGGGAGCAAACAGGAUUAGAUACCCGUGUACG